GUUUAAUUUAUUAUAAAAGAAAUUCAUUUAAAUAGUUAUUUAAAUAUAAAAUAUUUUUUAAAAUAUGUUAUAAGUAAUAUCUUGUUCAGAUAAUGUUUUUCUUGAGUACAAUAUUCUAUUUUAAAAACAAAAUUGACCAAGUUGCCGAGCAGAAAAUGCUUAGCUUUUUUCAUAUAGAAAUUCCAGAAUGCCUUAAUGUGCUGUUGAAAAAUUUUUCCGGAGCUCGUCGCUUUUAUUUGAUCGAUUCAGUACUGAUUCUUGUUAAUUCACUGCAUAGACCUAUCUAUUCAAUUCAAGUUCUCACAACCCCAAAAAUACAAAGUGUCCGGACAUUUAAAAUAAAUAAUAAUCAACAUUUAAAAAAAUUUAUUUUUUAAUAAAUACUCAAACAUGAAC
rnacentral:lncRNA from 1 species